GACGAACGCUGGCGGCGUGCUUAACACAUGCAAGUCGAACGGAAAGGCCCUGCUUUUGUGGGGUGCUCAAGUGGCGAACGGGUGAGUAACACGUGAGUAACCUGCCCUUGACUUUGGGAUAACUUCAUGAAACUGGGGCUAAUACCGGAUAGGAGCUCCUGCUGCAUGGUGGGGGUUGGAAAGUUUCGGCGGUUGGGGAUGGACUCGCGGCUUAUCAGCUUGUUGGUGGGGUAGUGGCUUACCAAGGCUUUGACGGGUAGCCGGCCUGAGAGGGUGACCGGCCACAUUGGGACUGAGAUACGGCCCAGACUCCUACGGGAGGCAGCAGUGGGGAAUAUUGCACAAUGGGCGGAAGCCUGAUGCAGCAACGCCGCGUGCGGGAUGACGGCCUUCGGGUUGUAAACCGCUUUCGCCUGUGACGAAGCGUGAGUGACGGUAAUGGGUAAAGAAGCACCGGCUAACUACGUG
rnacentral:rRNA from 1 species